rnacentral:rRNA from 1 species
GAUGACCUCGGAUCAGGUAGGGAUACCCGCUGAACUUAA